AAAUAUUAUUAGUAUAGUGUUCAAUCAAGUAGGAAGGGGUUUAGAAAAUGCAACAAGUUGAUAAAAAUGAUUGACUUUUUAUUUCUUUUUAGAAUUCCUGACUCUUAUCAUAACUGUGCAUUUUGAAAUUGAUGUUCUAACAACCAAUAGUGGUUAAAAUAUACUAUCCACUUAAUUACAUUCAAUUAUGGUUAUAGUAGCAUGUCUCAUUCAAAGAACCAGAUCUACAUGGAUGCAUACUUAAAACUUAUUUAUCAAUUUACUUCACAUAUUCUUCCCAAUAACAUCCUUCUGUCCUGUGUCCCUUUUUCCUUCCUCCUGUCCCUCCCCCCUUCUUCCUUUCAUUCCUCCUUCCUUCCUCCCAUUUCUCUUCCUUCCUUUCUCCUGUCCUGCCUCCCUCUUUCCUUCCUUCAUUGCAAAUGCCUUAUCCUAGACUGUGGCUUUUUUUUUUUAUUUUUUUUAAUGGAGUUUUUCCAUGAACAGAAGUUCUUCAUAUUAAUAAAGUAUAAAUCGUCUUUUUUUAUUUUAUUAUCAUAUUUGCUUUUUCUGUAUAUGUCCUGUUUAAGAAAUCUUGGCCUACCCCAAGGACAUAAAGAUAAUUUCCUAUGUUUUAUUCCUGAAGCUUUAUUAUUUUACUCUCCACAAUUCGUCCUAAGACAUUUAAAAAAAUAAUGUUUGCAUUAAUUAUUAAUUCAUUCUAAGACAUAUUUAAAAAUAAUUAUGUGAUGAAAGGGCCAAGACUUAUUUUUCCCCACUAUAAUGUUAUACUGAUAAUAUAAUAUGAUAGUGGCCAUUUGUGUCUUUUUCCCAACCAUCAGAGGACAAAUAUUUGAUAAUUUACCAAUAAGAAUUAUGUUUCCUGUUCAUGUUUUAUAGAUUUUUCUUAUGGGAUUGAGAAUGUUCUAUUUUUUUUUAAGUUAUCCUAGGGCAGUGAAGUCUGUCUCAAAGAUUUUGGCAUAUAUUUACUUAAUCAUAUCCAUUUUUUUCUUCUUUUUUCUUAUUUUGAAUUAAUCAAAUAUUUUUUCCCAUUUACUCUCCUCUGUUAUCUCUUAAAUUUUACAUAGUCUUGUAUUACCUUUUUUAGGGUUUACCAUAGAAGUUUCAAUAUGCAUCUUUAAAUUAUUGCAGCCUAACUUAAGUUUUGCUUUUGUUAUGUUUUGAACAAUAUCUCAUAAUUUACCCAUGCCCUUUUUUUCUAAUCUUAUUAUGUUCUUUUAUAUAUGUCAGUCUCCCACAGAAUAGUAUUAUUUUGUGUAUAACACUCAUUAUUCUUGUAUAUUUGCCCACAUAUUUGUUCUUUCUGGUAAAUUUUAUUUUUUCAGCAGUACCAUACUCACAUCUAGAAUCAGUUGAGUCCAGGAAAGAAUUUUCAUUUUCUAAUUAUUAUUAUUACUAUCAUGUUUCUUAUAGGAUGAAUUCACUCAAUGUUUGCCUGAAAGCAUUUCAUUACAUAUUUUUACUCUAAAUUAGCUGUAUUGAGAGACAAUACAAAUCCAAUAAUAUUCACCAAUUUUAAGUGGAAUCAGAACACAUAAUUUUUCCAUCACCUCCCAAAAUACCCUUGUGUGGUUUUUGAGUCAGUCUCCUCCUUUUUGGCUCAGUCCUUUGCAGUCACUGAUCUACUUUUUGUAAGUAUAGUAUUUUACUAGAAUUCUGUAUAGUCACAUUCAUUGAACACAAUGCAUUUGAGAGUCAUUUAUAUUGCUGUGUACAACAGUACUUUAGUCCUGUUUAUUGCUGACUAGUAUUUUGAUAUAGGGGUAUACCACAAUUUAUUCAUUCAUUCACCAGUGAAAUAAAAUUUGGGUUUUUUUUGUUUUUGUUCAUUAUUAAUAAAGUUGCUAUGAGCAUUUAUGAAUAAAUACUUUUUAUUACAUGCUUUUAAUUCUUUUGGAAAAGCACUUAAAAGUGAAAUUGCUUGGCCAUUUGGUAGGUAUAAAGUUGUAUAAAAAGAGCAAAAUAUUUCCCCACUGGCUAUACCAUUUUACAUCCCCAUGAGAAAUUUAUAAGAAUUACAGCUGCUCUUUAUCCUCAUCAAAAUUAGUAUUGCCGGUCUUUUUACUUUAGCCAUUCUAGUGACUGAAGACAGGUAUUCUAUAGUGGUUUUAAUUGAAUUUUACCUAAUAAUUGAUAAUUUUGAGCAUUUUUUGUUAUGACCAUUUUCAAUUCCUAUAUUCUUUUUGAUGCACUAUUAAAAACUUUACCUUUUAAAAAUUUGAUUAUGUGUCUUAUGAAUAUUGUGAUAUAACAGAUUUUAAAUAUAUUCUGAACACAAAUUCUUGUUCAGAUAUAUAUUUGCAAGUGGUUUCCAGUUUGUGGCUUCCCUUUUCUUUUUCUAAUGGUGUCUUUGAAAAGGCAAAAAAAAUUGAUGAAAUGUAAUUUAUUGAUUUAUAACUUUAUAAUUUGUGGUUGCCUAAUUCAAGGUCAUAAAGAUAUUUUUUCUAGAAAUUUUAUAGGUUAAGCUCUUACAUUUAGGUGUAUUAUUCACUUCUAGUUAAUUUAUAUGAAUGGUGAGAAGUGGAUGAUAUUUAUUUUUCCAAAUGGUUAUCUAUCUUUUCUAAGACAAUAUGUUAAAAACUAUAUCAUUUCUUAUUGUAUUACACUGAUAUUUUUGCCAAAGAUUUAUUGAUUAUAUAUAUGUGGGUAUAUUUAUAGACUCUUCAUUAUGUUCAGUUAAUUUAUAUAUGUAUUCUUAUACCAAUACCACGCUGUCCUAAUUACUAAUUUUAGAGUAAUGCUUAAAGUUAUAUAUUAGAAAGCCUCCAAAUUUGUUGUUAAUUUUAAAUGUUGAUUUGGCUAUUCUAGAUUCUUCAUUUACAUGUAAUUUAAAAAAUCAACUAACCAAUUUCUACAAAAGGGUUUGCUAGACUUUUGGUUGGAAUUACAUUAAAUAUAUAGAUCCAUUUGGAAAGGCUAGAUAUAUUAUCAAUAUUGAAUCCUAUGCUUUGUUAAAUUCUUGAGUAUUUUAUAAUUUUAGGCUACUAUAUAUGAUACUUCUAAAACUUUUAAUUUCUAAAUAUUUAUCAUAUAUAUAAAUGCAAUUGAUUUUCAUAUAUUGACUGCUAUCAUUUGAAUGUUCCCUCCAAAACUUAUGUUGAAAUUUAAAUGCCAUUGUACUAGUCUAAAGAGGUGGGAUCAUUAAGACCUGAUU
rnacentral:lncRNA from 1 species